rnacentral:rRNA from 1 species
GAUGAACGCUGGCGGCGUGCCUAAUACAUGCAAGUCGAGCGAACAGAUGAGGAUCUUGCUCCUCUGACGUUAGCGGCGGACGGGUGAGUAACACGUGGAUAACCUACCUAUAAGACUGGGAUAACUUCGGGAAACCGGAGCUAAUACCGGAUAAUAUAUUGAACCGCAUGGUUCAAUAGUGAAAGACGGUUUUGCUGUCACUUAUAGAUGGAUCCGCGCCGCAUUAGCUAUUUGGUAAGGUAACGGCUUACCAAGGCAACGAUGCGUAGCCGACCUGAGAGGGUGAUCGGCCACACUGGAACUGAGACACGGUCCAGACUCCUACGGGAGGCAGCAGUAGGGAAUCUUCCGCAAUGGGCGAAAGCCUGACGGAGCAACGCCGCGUGAGUGAUGAAGGUCUUCGGAUCGUAAAACUCUGUUAUUAGGGAAGAACAAAUGUGUAAGUAACUAUGCACGUCUUGACGGUACCUAAUCAGAAAGCCACGGCUAACUACGUG